GCACUUUCAACCCAUGCAUUCGUUUCAAAGAAGGGCCAAUAACGUUCAUUCAAAUUUGAAGAGCUUAAAGACCAUUCUUUCAGAAAUGAAAGCACAUUUAACAUCCUUCUCUUCAUUGGGUUCACCUGGAUUAAUGGCUACUAAACAUUCUCAAUUGGCAUUUCAAUGAAGGUUUGACUAACACUCCAGCUCGGUUCUAUUUAACCACCAAAACACUUCGUUCAGACGCCUGAAGAGUCACAAGCCACUUGAACUUAAGUGUCCUGUGUAUCAAAACUUUUCUCUUGCACGUCAGUAGGACUUUUAAAUUGUUUUUCAUCCCUAAAAGCAGAUAUCUGGGUGGAUUUAGAAACGAUUAUAAAAUAAUUACUAAUAUCGUAAACCAUGGCAUUCACAUGGUAUUUCAAAGGGUACGCCAAGCUAAUAAUAAAAUAAAUGUAUUUUAAAGACAUAUCCAAUUAUUUAUCACAUACUUUUAUUUAAAUAAACUUAUAAAAUUAUAGUACUAUGCUGUUCUUAGGUAAAAAGUCAAUGAGAGAUAAAAUCGUCUUUUUUCGACUAUUUUUAACAGCAAUUUCUCGCUCCAUCACAUACCUAACAAAUAAUCAUGGUUUUGCCCCAAAUACCAUAAUUAAAGGUCUUAAACUGCACAAGAAGCAAGUCUAUGUUAGCUAAUUCAUCGAAGUAUACAUGUAUAAAAACAUAUUUAAUUGUGUGUAAUAUACAAUAUCUAAUUUUGUUGCUUUAAUGUAAUUAUGCCUCUUUGUAAUGAACCUUUCUCGUCGUAAGAUUUAUUAGUAAGCUGUAUUAUUUACUUUACUCCAGAUGGCGCUAAUAUUCAGUGUUAGCUGUAUUGUAACAGCUAUGAUGAAGCGGAAACGGCUGUUACCAUGGCAAAUGGAGGACAGCGCGCGACAUUAUUUAUGCAUCGUUUCACUAUACGUUCAGCCCUCCGUCUGUUCUGUGGCCAUAAAUAACCUAAACGCCAUAUAUCCGCUCGCAUUUCGUAUAUUACACAUUGUAAUGUGCGCAAAAUGAGAUGUUUAACACGCGCAUAUUCUCAGAACGCCAAUUUGGAGGUGUGGUCGCUGCCCGAAGCCCCGCCCCCUCCGACGUCACUGUCGUCGUGCUAAUUUGCCGCUAUCGAAAAAGAGAUCAUAACUCGUUUCCACCCGAAAAUAAAUACCAACGGGCUGCCGUCGGUCGUUUCGCAAUCUUUUGUUUCUGCAUCAUCAGAAGCCUUUGGUUUCAGACUCUGGAAUCCUCUCUGCUCAGCAGUUAUUGAAGUGAGGAGAAGGUACAUCUCCAUGGCAACCAGCGGCUGCAGGGAGCUGAAAUCUGUUUGAAUAAACUCCCAACAGCAUUGACUGAAGUGUGAUAUCAGAGGUUCAGCAGUCUGGAUUUCAGAUUUCAGAGAUAGCGGCCAACGCAGGCGAGUGGGAGGUUUUCAAAGCGCGGAUGUAACCUGCAAACAAACCUUUACCUGCGAAGCAAGACGACAUCUUCAUUCAUUCUUAUGAAAUCUUUGCUAAUGGAGAGACUUCGGUCAACAUUGGCCUCCUAAAUUAUUCCUGCUAGAUAAAACCUUGUGUACACCAGCACAGAAGCAUCCCAGACUAGAGACCAGCAUCCAAAACACGACACGUGCUAGUGACGUGGCGCACACGCGUCGAAAAGCUGUCGUCUCUUCUGGUGUCUGCAGAGAGGGAUCAAAGUGAAAACUGGCAGCCGGAGCGAGAGAGACGGAGAGAGAAGGAGAGAGAUUUCGGGGUGAACUAGAGGACGCCGCCUUUGUAGCAAAACAUGGUAACCUAGUUGCCGUCGCAUUGAAGGCAGCAUAUUUCUCUGUAAACAUAUUCAAUUAAGACAUCAAACUUCAAACCGUGUACGAUGAAAAAGAAUGCCGAUGAGAGAAAGAGGGUUCGGGGGUCAUGCUGGGUUCUGUCUUUGAUUGAAAAUCGGACUUCUUUUGAUGAAAUAAUCAUCGCUUGGUAGAAGUGCAAGUUGUGGCCAAGACGUGUGCGCAGAUGCGGCGGAAAUUUAAUGAGUUCGGGAAGUGCUGACAUUUUGAAGACCCAUAAAAAACCUUGUUAGAUGCUCAUUCUGUGUUGCGUAUUUCCAACAUCGUGCAUUGAUGCCACUUGAGAAAAUCAAACGUUUGGAGAAAAAAGCUUGUCAAGACACUAUAGCAGAUGGACGCCCAUGUGUUGGUGGUUCAUAAGGUAAAACUCAAAACACUCUCUGGGUGACAGUGAUCACUCCCUCCGAUUUUGUGUAUUAUUACACCGUUCACAGAUCAGUUUACAUCAGCACUAGAUGUCGUACUAGCCUUCAGCCAAGUACAACGAAACCCACUGCAACACUGUGCUGUCUGUUGCUCGCCCUCCCUCUACACCUCUCUCUCUCUCUCCCUGUCUGCCAGAGAAUGAUAGAGAUGUUUGCGGUUUGACGUAAUAGUAUUUGACAUCUUAGUUCUCUGAAAGAUGAGCAGACAUUAAUGCCGUGUUAUUGCAGUACGCACCACUAGAGUUCACUGUAGAUGCAAAAUGGUCUGGUUUUACUAACUCAAGGAUGAAUGUGAUGGGAAACGUAUUAGACUGUAUUUCCCCGCACUCCGGAUAAAGGUUUUCCAUCAACAAAGAGUCUAGUCAAAGAGAAUUACAAAUGCGUCUUGCCUUUAUUCUUAAAGGUGAAGUGUGCAUGUUUUGAUGCUGUAGGAAUAAGUUCAUCCAGAAUGAUGAAUUGCAUUUGGUUAUAAAUGUUCUGUUGGUUGUAUUGUAUUUUUUCCCCGAACGUUUGAACAAAAGGUGCAGUGUUAAAAAACUGAAACAGCAAGUUCUUCUGGUCCAGCGUUUUCUUCCAAAGUGGUUUUUAUGAUUUUUCAUCAAAUGAACACAAAAGUAGAACAUGUUAAAACAAAACAGGACCCAAACUUAGUACCAAAGUACCAAAAAGCACAUCCAUACAUCAUUAAGAUAAUCCAAUGACUGAAAAUUAUUAUUGUUUAGAGGCUAUUGCUUAGCAAAUCUUACAUCAAAGAGGCCGUUCGUCCACACGUUUUGGCCAACACACAGCUUUAUGGUUCGUGUUAUAUCACCACCUGUUGGCUUGGCAUGCUUUUGACAGCGCUUUAUAGCGUGUUUAUCGUGAGGACGCAAGGUUUUUUUUAAAUGAAGAAGACAAAACUCUGUUUAUAAAAAUACUUGUGUAUGUGUGGACUAUGUCAAAGAUUGAAAUUAAAUUGAAAUUCAUUGCUUAAUUCAAACUCUUUAUCUCACAAUUAGAUUUCUGACUGGUUUUCACAAACAGGGUCACAAAUUAUACUUUUUAAGAACAAUUGUUACUAGCUGCAACUUAUAGACAUAUGUAUUGGAAAACUAAUAGUGUAAAACAUAUGCAUUGGAAAAAUAAUGCAUUUAAAAUAUGGCUCUUUAAAUACAUCACAGAAAUAGACAGACAGAUUCCUUUAAAUCCAAUGUUCUCUUUCUGAACAACACAGCCGUCUGCCUAAAAUAAUGUCUCAGACUGUCUCAUUUCUUUAUGUUUUAAUCUGCUCUUCGUAGAUAUGGAACACAUGUGUUUUUCUCUCACUGUUUCGACCUUGAAGUUUUCCUGAGUUGUGAGUAUAGAUUGUGAACGAGGGCUCUUCGUCAGAUCGGCAGACAGAGGUGUAGCCUUUUACUGUCUGUAUUGAUCGCGUUUUUGUGCGCUGCUGUGGAUCUAUAACACGUUUCAAUCACAUCUGCGCCGCGAUCUUCACACACAGCAGGCUGAGGGCCAACAGACACAACACACCAGCUGAGAGGUUCAGGAAGCACGCUGCAUCAAAACCAGAAACAUUGAUUCCUUCCUUUUUUGGGGGGGUUGCGACAAUGAUUGUUCCUAAUACUCGUAAUUGAAAUGUUCACCAACACAGAGCAAACAUAAAGUUUUUGUUUUGUUUUCACAGUACACUUAAAUACAAUACUGUUCCUUUUCAAAAUGGGUUUUAUAAAGGAACGACGUCAUCUGUUAUAACCGUGAGAGAGAAAGAGAAAGAAAGAGAAUAAAAAAUAAACAUCUAAAUGCUUUGAAUAAGCCUUAUUUCCUUAAUGCACUAUAUUUUGAUCUUUUGACUUUGAAGUGACCCUAACCCUGGUUUGUUUCUUUCAGUAGGUAUGGACUGACCGACUGUCAAAGAUGAAUAUGAAACCGAAGUCAUAUUGCAUAAUGCCCAUUGGUUCUUCAUUGAUCAUGUUGACUAACUAAGUUUCCCUUGAAGAAAUGACCUGCAGAGCCCCAAUUAUAAAUGCCUUCCAUCACCAAAUCUAAUCCAUCUGCUCUCCGUGAGAUGUCAGGUCGAGGUUAAACUGCACAAAAUGGAAAAAAAUUGAACGAAAAAGAGCGCAGGAUAAAUGAAGACACUCCGGUUAAAUGUCAACCGCAUCUCCAAAUAAAUAAACAGAUGGAUUUAUUUGUAGUGUCAGCUCUCUUCUCAAUUAAUUGCUUUUCUCAAUUUAAAUAAGUUGGGAAUACAACGAGUCAAUCAGCGUUUAAAAAAGAGCAAACGGAGCAAUUUGUUUACCUUAACAAUUAAUCUGUCAUUACUUCUGACGAAAGACGAAACCUCGUCAUUGAGAUUGUGUAGCUAAAGCAUUUAUUCUCGGCGACUUCAGAGAAUUGAAACAAAUUGAAAUUAACGCGUGUAAUAACGCUGACACGGUGCAUUUUUAAUGUGCUGUUUAAAUCAACGCCACUUGCUGUAAAUAUAAAUCUAGGAUUAAUUUGAUUAUGUCAUGUGCUUUAAAUAUAACACAUACCCUCCGAUAUGUCACGCAUGUCCCAAUAAAGUCUUUUUGUCUAUUCAUGCGUCAAAUAAUCCGCAGCAAGACGUUUCAAUCUUCAAUUUAACAGGCGGGAGAUGAGCAGGGUAUUGGAUACAGAGGGGUGAUUAGAGGUCAUGUGAUGUCACUGUCAGCAAGCCAAUGACCUCUGUCACAGCGUCUGCCAUUUAAAUGUCAAAAUGCGCAUCCGUGUCGGAUGGCCAUCAUCUCUCGCUCGCGCACAUUUGCAUUUCACAGAGUCCCAAGCUGUCAGUAAAAAACUCUGCCCGUCAGGCCACGUCUGCCACCGCAGUGGGCAUCUCUUCAAACGUCUCCGGCACACGUGCGCUCCAGCCAGAUGCUAAUUCGCCGCAAUUAAAAACAAAAUCACAGACAGUUACUCAAUGGGAUCCUGAUGAGAGGGAUGCUAAAUAUAAACUAAAGCAAGUGGGAUGUUGUCACAUCCGAGCGUGAGUGAUGUUUGCCCUUCCUGACGGCGCUGAGAAAUAUGUCUGAAGUUGAGCAGCGUCUUUAAAGCGUCACCGUCGAAAAAUAGCUUGUGUGGGUUGCAGGCUUCCUAGACACUUUUAAUGAAAAUAGGAAUCAAAAUAUGAGAAUCACCUUUAUUAAGGAGAUUAAUAUGUCAAAGUAAAUAAAUAAUGUAGAAUAGAUCAAGGUUAUAAUGUAGAAUAGGAUUUCUUAAAGUUCUCUUUUGAUUUUAAAUUAAAAACUGCCUUAAACGGAUAGUUCCCCCAAAAAAGAAAAUUCUGUCAUCUGUUAUUCAUCUUUGUGUUAUUUCAAACCCGUAUGACUUACUAUCUUUCGCAGAACACAAAAGAAGAUAUUUUGAAGAAUGUCGGUAAACAAAAAACAUCGGCCCCUAUUGACUUCCAUAGUAAGGACACGAAGGCACUGAAGAAAUUGCUCAAAAUAUCAUCUUACAGGUUUUGAUAAGGGACAGAAUUUUCAUUUUUGGGUGAACUAUCCCUUCAACACGUAUUGUCUACAUCAACGCGAUGUCCUAAUGACGCAGUUGCCUAUGUUUAAGAAAAAAUUACCCAAAAUAUCCGCCGUACCUAACAUCUGAAACAGAACGGGAGGUUUACCUUGAGCAAACCGCUAAUGAUACGACAUCCAUCAGCUUCGCAGCAUCCUGACUGCGUCUGCUGGCUCGAAACGGCGCUCGGCGGCCACUCGCUGGUGCCUGUUUAAUAGCUCUUUUAAGAACUAAUACCAAGAAACAAAAAAGUAUUGUGCACGCACAUAUUUGCCAAGACAAGCGAGACUUAUUUCCUCCUGAAUCUAUUAGAUCUGGCUGUGAUUCCUCCGCGCUCUUCAUUAAGACAGCUUUGAGGAGCACAGCUUGAGAGCGACGUGUCGCGUGGCUCCCAGACUGAAGCCUCAUACAUCAUUUUCAUUGCUUUAUUUUUACCAUAUCUCGCUCCUCUCGAGUGCCUCUACCACGUAAUAAACUUUCUCGACUUAGAAUUCUUCCAGACGGGUAUGACAUCUCGGGUUUUGGAGAACGUUGCCGUUUGUUCUUCUGGCCAUCGGAUGCAUGCCCGGCCCUAAUGAAGAGCGGUUGUCUCCAAAGCUGUCUUUGAAAUGAAAAUGCAACUCAGGGCCGAUUAUACUUUGAAGCCGGUGACAUGACGUUGAUGGCUAACGCACAUUGGUCCAUUACAGUCAGGUAACCGUUGCCAGGCCCUCAGGCACCCCCUCGCAUCGUUAACAAGAUUUCUUAUGCGUCCACUCCCGUUGGCCAGAUGUAGACCCUCGCCCAAUUUCCCCCCAUCUUUGCGCUGAGCCAAAUUCGGGGUAUAUUUUAAUCAGCUCUAAUCUCUUUCUGUUUAUCAUCACAUAUAAACACCCACUGGUAUGAAUCGUACAAAUGCAAAACACAGCAGAGCGAUAUUAAAGUGGGCAUUUAUAGUAGGCUAUCCAUGGCUGUCUGGUGCAGGAAACAGGCCUUGUUUUACUCUACGAACGUGCCCCAUCUGUGUCUUGGAUGGCACGUCGCCCUUUGAAACCAUGUAGCAAUUACGUUGUCUCCCUUCGCCCAAGGACUCCAAAUUAUAAGGAACGAGGCAUCAAAGGAGCCGUGGGACAGCGCGAGAAACGCACGACGCUGUAGGUUCAGGCUUUAUUUGGAGAGUGUUGUUAUUGAUGCAUUCUUGUCUUCAAACUCCCACCGCGGAGAGCAAAAAGUACGGGCGGAUUUUCUGCUGCGGAAAGCUGUUAUCUAACAAACUGUAAGGCAAUAAUAACAACAAUGAAAUCAAUAUCGCUCGCGCUUCUGUUCCCUAAAAACUCGCUGAACUUGUUUUCUUUGUUGGCGAAUUGCGUGUCGAAGUGGCGGACGUACAAACACCUUUAAGGAAACUGUAUAAUGUGUAUUGAUAGUCGGUGACAAUUUACAUUAAAGACGGUCGUAAUUGAGGUAUUUGCAGAUUCAGAUUUUGAGAGCUUUGCGUUCUUCUCAGUUGGAGAGAAACUGCUGUUUCUUAAAUGUGCUUCAAUUGGUGGUUUUAGGUGUAAUGUUUUCUUUCUUUCUUCUUCAGGAUAAAGGAGUGAAAUGUGGGCCUACUUUGAUGUUAGAAUAAAGCCGGACAUGAAUGGGAGAUUGUGGCGGAUUGUGAAGAAGAAAUGUUUGUCUCCGAGGAAUCAGGCCAUAUUAAUUGAAUCCAGAGAAAUUCAAUGAAUAUUAAAGUUCAGCCAUAAAGUGCUUUAGAUGCUGUUGGCAAUAACAGCCUAAGACAUUUUGUAUUGAACUAUUGGUUACCAAUAUUUCCCUUUUUGCACAUUAAUAAAGGUUGUUUCGGGGACUUUCUAAAUUUUUGUGAAUAAUCAUGAAGCUUUUUGUUUCAAUGGAAUAACGUGCACUUCUAAAUCAGGCACAAUAAGGCCACGAAUGUGUGUUAGGAAAGUGAAUUGAGUUGUGAUCUCCCGUUGAAAAGGGCAUUUUUAAACCAGACACAAUAAACCUUCCUGAAAACUUUCUCAGCUUGUAUUUGGGCGCUUAAAGCAAUUAGUGAGCCAGCGGAGGAGCUGAUUGCAGAUAUUUAUAACAAUGACAGUAACCUGGAGAGGAGGCUGUGUUCUCUUCUGUCGACAAGUCGGCUUCUUUACUCGGAUUAAUGGAGAAGUUUAGGAGUCGUGUGGAACACGGUGGUGCUAAGAAAACAAAAGUCCAAAGAAACAUCUGUGAGCUUUGAAGAAGAACACCUUCAAGUUUGGAAAGUUCUGGUAGUGUGGAUGACCUCAUAGGCCUACAUUGAACUUCACCCAUCCUGCCACUGGACAUCAAACAGGUUGAAUGUCACUUGUCUUUGUCAUAUAUCACUCCGAAAUUAGAUUUUGAAUAAAAAAAUGAA